GACAUUUUCCAACUCUCAACACACAGGCUGCUUUUUAUCAUUCCUACGGGGCAGGAGGGGGCAGGGAGAGAAGGCUAAGACACCGGGUCCAGUACCCAGAGGUUCUAGGGAGAGAUCUCUGAGAUUGCCUACUUGUCACUGGAAUCAAUUCCGUGGGGAAUCGGGGCUCCGCCGCCGCGAAGGACAGCCUUUCCGCGCGGGACUCCGGGGCGCCACGGGGGCCAUGUAAGCAGCUAUCUUCCAGAGGGCCACACUGGGCAUGGACACCCUUUUCCCUGCCUGGAGGAGCACAGGUGAUAGUGUAAUUUUCCAGUCACGAAACUGCUAAGGCCAUCUCAGGGGCGUGUGCGCCAGGAUAGGAGGGCGGCGUCCGAGGACCACAUAGCCAUGCCUUUUGGUCUGAAGCUCCGCCGGACACGGCGCUACAACGUCCUGAGCAAGAACUGCUUUGUUACACGGAUUCGCCUGCUGGACAGCAAUGUUAUCGAG
rnacentral:sRNA from 1 species